AUUGAACGCUGGCGGCAUGCCUUACACAUGCAAGUCGAACGGCAGCACGGGAGCAAUCCUGGUGGCGAGUGGCGAACGGGUGAGUAAUACAUCGGAACGUGCCCAGUAGUGGGGGAUAACCCGGCGAAAGCCGGACUAAUACCGCAUACGACCUACGGGUGAAAGCGGGGGAUCGCAAGACCUCGCGCUAUCGGAGCGGCCGAUGUCAGAUUAGCUUGUUGGUGGGGUAAAAGCCUACCAAGGCGACGAUCUGUAGCUGGUCUGAGAGGACGACCAGCCACACUGGGACUGAGACACGGCCCAGACUCCUACGGGAGGCAGCAGUGGGGAAUUUUGGACAAUGGGCGCAAGCCUGAUCCAGCCAUGCCGCGUGC
rnacentral:rRNA from 1 species